ACAAAUGUGAUGUGUGUGUCUAUGACUGACUAAUUGAUAGCCAGAAUAGAAAGGACUGGGGUCAAUACAAUGAAGCAUAGGCAAUAGAUAUAAUGAUUAAGGCUCCUGUAGGUUACUAAAAGGCAAAAGAACAAUUCAUAUAAACAUGUUGUUGCAAGCGUGAAUCAUAGUCAUGAGACUGAUAUUUGCUGCCAAAUUCAAUAGUUCCUGUAGGUUACUAAAAGUCAGACUCGCCUGAUGUUGUUGUGCAACAUCAGGCCCAAUCAGUAAUUGCCUUGUGGGAUCAACCCCACGAAUGAAGUAUAAGGCUUGAGAUUUUCUCAUAAUAUCUAGGGACUUUGCCACUGCUGACGAGCUGUGUGAUGUUGUUAUGGUUUGCUGCCUCCAAAAUGCCGCGUCCCCCGGUUGGAGUGAUGAUAUAAUAUCUAGGUAACGUAUUAAUUCAUUAACCCUGUAUAUAUUAACUCUUUUCACUGAUAAGUGUAAGUAAUAAAAAGUGUUGCAUGACAAUUGAUUUCCUGUUUUAACACAGUGAGGUGUGGGUGGGGUAGGUUAAGCUACCAAUCAUAGCAAUACAUUUAGUGGCGCUGCGAGCAGGGUAACUUAAUCUUUGUCCGAUAUGUUUCGGAAAAAGGAGAAAGUUAUCCACGAAUCUGCAGAGGCAUGGGAAAAGAGUUUACAAAAUGCAGAACCAGUGAAUGUAGUACGGACCUUAGAGAAGUUUCCCUGUAAAUCAGGUGAUGUAGUUACCCUAGCUCGUAGGAGUUGGGUGUUGGCUUCAGCAUACCGUAUUGUGCACACACGGCUAUGUGAGGCAAUCGAGGGAAAAAAAACAGCUUCAACGGAAAACGUUGAAAGCAGAAGGAAAGUGUUUAACUUUGGAAUGUAAUGUCAAAAUCUUGCGAGAUAAAUUGGAACACUACCAGCACAUAGCUGAAAAGACUUCUGUGUUGGUGGCUUAGCAUAAAUAUAAAAAGCGUAAGGGAAAAAUAGAUAAACAAAAAGUCAGGAGAUUUAUUGCUAAAGCAUCCGUAGAUUGGGACCCUGAAAAAUGGGAUGGGGACGUAUGGAAAACGUCUUCAUCUGAGGAGGAGGAGUCGGAUGAUUGUCCCGGAGGAUCUCAUUGCCCCGACCCAGAGAUAGAUCCUCCAUAUAAUAAGUCUUUCAAACCAAUUAUGCGACGGAAACAGAAUGUUAUAUAUGGACCUGAUGAAAGAGACAGGGCUGAUGGGGCCGGUCAAGAACCGGUACCCCAUGUACAAUUCAAGGAAACGAUGGAGGAUUUUAGUCAGGCAGAAGUAGAUGAUAUCUUGGCCAGAUUUAGACAAAAGCAAGAAGAAAGUGAUAUGAAGUGGUUGGUCAGGUUACAUGAAACGGGUGCAGAUGGGAUUUCUACUUUAAAAAACAUACAUUUUCUUAAAGUAUAAAUAUAAAUUUUGUUGGCAUUUUGCCAAAGUACUUAGAACUUUGCCAAGAGGCAUAAAAUUUGUUGGCACUGUGCCAAAAAUAUUUGGCGUUUUGCCAAAUUUUUUGGCAGUUUGCCAAAUAACAGAAAAAGAGAAGAAUAAUGUUUGGAAAAAGGGAGAAAUCCAAAAUUGUGAAAAAGAACCCCAAGAUAUACCCGGCUGGACCGAGUCACCUUAUUGUAUAGUGGCACAAGAAUUAUGUACACAUGGGUAAGCAGAACAAUGGGAUGAGAAAGUAGAAGAGAUAAACCCUCUAGAUGUUGUAAAUACUCUAGAGAAGAUUCCCUGUAAAUCAGGUGAUGUAGUAGCACUAGGAAAAAGAGUUCCAUUAAGAUUCUGGAAUAGAAAAUUAUCUGAUGUAGGUGAAAAAUAUACGCCUUUUGAAAAACAGCUAUUGGCAUGUAAUUGGGCAUUGGUUGAUACUGAACAACUAACCUUAGGACAUGAAGUACUUUUAAGACCACAAAUACCAAUUAUGCAGUGGAUAAUGUCUAAUCCUAAAUCAAAUAGGAUAGGACAUGCUCAGGAACAGAGUAUAAUAAAAUGGAAAUGGUACAUUUCCGAAAGGGCAAAAAAGGGAGGAGGACUCAGAAUAGGGAGUUAGCCAAGCCUCCAUAUGGGUGAAACAUGAUUUUCGCCCAUACGUCGAUUUAUCCAUACAUAGGAAGGGGGGGAAUGUUCAAAAAGACAUGUGUACCUUUUUGCAAAAUACUGUUGUAACUGUAUUUCAUGUGGAUGCUCAUGUUACUCUUGACUCAUUGGAACGUUUGUUUAAUUCUCAAGCAGAUGCUGAAGCAGCUAUUUACAACAUCCAACAAAGAAAUCAUUGAAAAAGAAACAUAAUGGUUCUCAUUUCACUGGAAAACAAGUAAAGGAUUAUGCAACUGACAAUAAUAUAGAAUGGGUAUAUCAUAUUCCCUACUAUCCCAAAGCAGCAGGGUUAGUCGAAAGAAUGAAUGGUAUUCUGAAAGCAACCCUAAAGAAAUUAUCAAUAAUAGGCCUAUAACUGAUUCCACUACUCCAUUGAUGAGAAUGUUAAAUCCUAAUUUAGUAGUAUCAGCUGCAAAAAUUGAUAGUAUGAUCUAUUGGAAAUUACAUAAGGAUGCCCAAGCACCUUACCGAGGAACACCAGCAUCGGCUGGACUAGAUUUAUGUUCUGUUGAUACUAUAAUAAUUGCACUUGGACAAUUAAAAAUGAUUCCUACUGGUCUGGAAUGCAAAAUUCCUGAUGGUCAUUAUGGCCAAAUAACAACCAGAUCUAGUUUUGCGCUAAAAAGAACCAUAGUAGUAGGAGGAGUAAUUGAUUCAGAUUAUCAGGGAGAAAUAAAGAUACUAAUGAUGAAUCUAGGAUUAGAUUCAGUAAUUGUGUCCAAAGGAGAAAGAACCGCUCAACUUUUACUGAUACCUAUUUAUUUAUCAGAAAUAAAGGAAGGUGAGCCACCAACAGAAUUAACAGUACGAGGAGAUAAAGGGUUUGGGUCCACUAAUACUGUAAAUGUAGGAGCUAAAAUAUGCGUACAAAAUAUACAAGGACCGCCCUCUCCCACCGAAGUUAUAGCUCUUGGAAAGGAUAGAACAUUGUUAAUCAUGAAGCCUGGACAAGAAAGAUGGGAAUAUGUCCCACAGGAAAAAUGUUAUCUAUGAGAAUGAUUGAUAUUUGUUUAUAAUUACAGAUAAAGAACCAUUGGUCUUUCCUUGGAAUCCUUGGAAUCUGGUGUUUGGCAUCAAACGGAAGCGCAUGGACUCCGGGGAUACGAGUGAUUAAUACCCACAAUUCCGCUCGCAAUUGGGGAUGGAAAAAUGAUACUUCUAAUCGAACAGAAUAUAUGUACCAGUAAAGAAAAAUGGGUAUACAAAACGUAACUGGACAAUAUAAUUGGACUUUUACUGCCAAUAGUAAAUGGAUAAUAUGUGCAAAUGCUACUAACAUUGCUGGAAGAAGAGUACCUUGGCAAUCUUUAUUGCAUGUCUGGAAUAUAGAUUCUGCUACUCAAAACCUCGGACAUAUUAAAAGAUUGACGGCUACCUGUAUACCUGUUGCUACAAUAGGACAAAAAAUUAUAUUGCAUAUUAAUAUUGUAUUUCCUGCCAAGAGAUCAUGUCAUAAUGCGAGACGUAAAAGAGCAUGGUAUGAUACCCUUUUAGGGGGAUAUGGUACAUUGGCAGGAACGUUAAAUAGUUUUGACAUAGAAACUUUAGCUAAUAGAAUGCACAAGGCAGGAGGCUUAACUAAUGAUGCUGUAGUGUGGCAAGCUAAAUGGAUGCCAACUAUUUGGGCCCCAUUACAACAACAAGUUGAAAUUGAUAAAAAUAUCAAUAAUAUGGAAUUGGAAGUUAAUAAUUUCAGUUUGAAUUUUGAUACUAACAUGAAAAAAUUUGUUAACUGGACAGUAUGUACAUUGCAGACUAUUUAUGAACAACAACAAAAAGAUAAUAUGAAAACUUUAUUAAUGACGGGUAAUGAACAAGUAUGGAGAACCGUGUUUAAUAGAACACAAGAAUGGAUACAAAUAUAUCCACAUCAAAUGGUCUGCAAUGACACCAUAUGUAAAGGAACUGUGAUAUUGUUUAAUAUAACACGUCCGACUAUUAUGUGUAAGGAUAUAGUAAUGCCUUUAAUUAUCUCUGGAUAUUUUUGGCAGCCUCUAUUUGUAGGAGCAUAUAUAGAUAACAAAAAUAGAACACACAAUUUAGAAAAUUGUGAAGAUACAUAUAAUGGGAAAGUUUGUAAAUUACAAUCAUCAGUAUAUGAACCAUGUUUAUUACAAAAUUCUAUUAAUCAGUGUUUGUGGACUGUCCUUCCACUAUCUUAUGAAUGGAUGUUAGAAAUCAGUCCACAAGUGAUAUGUGUAGUCACUAAUCAAUCUGUAAUACCUAAAAUGCAGACCCCUUUUGUUGGUUGCAUACACAAUGUUUCAGCAUUUACAUGGCAAAAUCAAACAUUUUUAUUAUCUCCAAAUGAGAUGAUUAAUAUUACCCAUAUUUGGACCCCUCACGUACUAGAUCCACCCAAUUGGAAUUUGUCUUUACAUCGCUUAGAGCGAAUUAUGAAUUCUUCGAACGAAGUACGUGAUGUUAUUGUACGAUUGAAUAACAGUUUGGCAGCUCACCAAUUAUAUACUACCAUAGUAGCUCAAAAAAUUGUAAAGUUAGGUUCAACCAUUGCAGAUGCUACAUCUCACCAUUGGUAUGAUGUUUUCACUGGGUAUAGCCCUUCUGCUGAACACAUGUUCUCUGUCUUGAUUCAUCCCUUGCUCAUCAUCAUGAUAUGUAUGUGUAUUCUAACUAUUUGGAAUUGUUAUGUCUUCUAUGGCAUGUGUUGUAAACCAACAACACAACAAAUUAAAAUGGUAACCUACGGUCGCAUUAAUCAUUAGGGGCCGAAUGUGAUACAAAUGUGAUGUGUGUGUCUAUGACUGACUAAUUGAUAGCCAGAAUAGAAAGGACUGGGGUCAAUACAAUGAAGCAUAGGCAAUAGAUAUAAUGAUUAAGGCUCCUGUAGGUUACUAAAAGGCAAAAGAACAAUUCAUAUAAACAUGUUGUUGCAAGCGUGAAUCAUAGUCAUGAGACUGAUAUUUGCUGCCAAAUUCAAUAGUUCCUGUAGGUUACUAAAAGUCAGACUCGCCUGAUGUUGUUGUGCAACAUCAGGCCCAAUCAGUAAUUGCCUUGUGGGAUCAACCCCACGAAUGAAGUAUAAGGCUUGAGAUUUUCUCAUAAUAUCUAGGGACUUUGCCACUGCUGACGAGCUGUGUGAUGUUGUUAUGGUUUGCUGCCUCCAAAAUGCCGCGUCCCCCGGUUGGAGUGAUGAUAUAAUAUCUAGAUCUGCUGUCCUCACUUACAGAUGGCUUGAAUGUAUAAACCGGGGCAUCAUUUACAAAAAUGGAGGCAGGUGGAAGAAACCUGCCUAUCUACAUUGGGAAUCAGUGGGAGCUACUCACGACAUGGUCCGCCUAUGCCGGCUGCCCUAUGUGUUUCGCUUAUAAUUCAGCUUCAUCAGGGGCAUAACUGAUAGGCGUGUUUGAGAGUUUAAAUAGGCAUCUGCCGGUGUCUUCAGUUGCCGCGAGGUUCUGGGUUCCUCCCCCAACGUCACAUCCGGUCGCAAUGACUCAAACUACUUCCAUGUACCAGAAGUGGACUACUUGCUCCUAAUUGCAUCUGUGCAUGCUCUGCCCAUACUAUAGUAGCCUUAUUAAUUCAUAUGCUACUGUAAUUGGAGUUUUAUUGAUAAUUUAAUGAAUUGUAUCCACAUAAAGAUUAAAAUUAAUUCAUAGUGGCAUCAACAAUUAA